rnacentral:rRNA from 1 species
GAUGAACGCUCGCUACAGGCUUAACACAUGCAAGUCGCGGGGCAGCAUGGGGGUUGCUUGCAAUCCCCGAUGGCGACCGGCGCACGGGUGAGUAACGCGUAUCCAACCUGCCCUUCACCACGGGACAACCCGGCGAAAGUCGGACUAAUACCGUAUGUUGUCCGUUGACGGCCUCCGAUUUGGACGAAAGGUUUGGCGGUGAAGGAUGGGGAUGCGUCCGAUUAGCUGGACGGCGGGGUGACGGCCCACCGUGGCGACGAUCGGUAGGGGUUCUGAGAGGAAGGUCCCCCACACUGGAACUGAGACACGGUCCAGACUCCUACGGGAGGCAGCAGUGAGGAAUAUUGGGCAAUGGGCGUAAGCCUGAACCAGCCAAGUAGCGUGCAGGAUGACGGCCCUAUGGGUUGUAAACUGCUUUUAUGCGGGGAUAAAGUGGCCCACGUGUGGGUUUUUGCAGGUACCGCAUGAAUAAGGACCGGCUAAUUCCGUG